GAUGAACGCUGGCGGCGUGCUUAACACAUGCAAGUCGAACGAGGCAUUUAAGACAGAUUUUUCGGAAUGAAGUUUUUUAUGACUGAGUAGCAGACGGGUGAGUAACGCGUGGGUAACCUGCCUCACACAGGGGGAUAGCAGUUGGAAACGACUGGUAAUACCGCAUAAGCGCACAGCUUCGCAUGAAGCGGUGUGAAAAACUCCGGUGGUGUGAGAUGGACCCGCGUCUGAUUAGGUAGUUGGUGAGGUAACGGCCCACCAAGCCGACGAUCAGUAGCCGACCUGAGAGGGUGACCGGCCACAUUGGGACUGAGACACGGCCCAGACUCCUACGGGAGGCAGCAGUGGGGAAUAUUGCACAAUGGAGGAAACUCUGAUGCAGCGACGCCGCGUGAGUGAAGAAGUAUUUCGGUAUGUAAAGCUCUAUCAGCAGGGAAGACAGUGACGGUACCUGACUAAGAAGCUCCGGCUAAAUACGUGCCAGCAGCCGCGGUAA
rnacentral:rRNA from 1 species